GCUUUUUGACCUGUCCCCAAAAUGUAAUUGGUUCAGAGUUUGUUUUGAUAUUUUAACCUGCGUGUUGUGAUCGCGUUUGGUGUAGGGGGACAAAAUAGAUUUACGCAUGAUGACGCACGAUGGCACACACUCGCAGCCGGUUUGGGUUCUGUGUAAGGGUGAAAUGAUUACUACCAUGAAACGGGUUAUUUCCUUAAUACCAAAACCUGAUAAAGAUCCCUUUUCAUAGAUAAUUGGAGACCUAUUGCAUUAUUAAAUACAGAUUAUAAAUUGAUAACUUUAGCAUAUGCUAAUAGACUUAAAAGCGGCCAAAACCCCCUUAUUAAUGAAAUAGUUUUAGACUUGAUUGAUUACACUGAUUUAAUUGACUCAGAGGCUAUUGUUUUAUUCCUCCACUUUUUUAAAGCAUUUGAUACAAUUGAACACAAAUGACUAAUACACUUUUGUACACUUUUGGUUUCGGGACUAGCUUUGUCUCUGUAAUCAAUAUGUUUUAUGAAGAUAUUAAUAGUUCUAUUAUGAUUAAUCGUAACACAUCUAAAAUAUUUGAUAUUCACCGUAGUGUAUGCCAGGGUUACCCCAUUUCAGCCUUCUUAUUCCUUUUAGUUGUAUAAUUACUAUCUAUUAAGAUUUUUAAACAACCCUGAAUUAAAAGGUAUUUCAAUAUUUGGAAAGAAAUACAAAUAUCUCAAUUAGCAGACAAUACAGCUCUGUUUCUAAAAGACAAGGAUCGGGUUGCUUUUGCACUUAAUAUUAUCAAAUCAUUCUCUUCUGCUUCUGGUCUGGAACUUAACUUAAAUUAAUACAAACUAUCAUCCAUACCUAACUCAAAUACCAAUCUGUGGGUGCAAAUGGCAAAAACCAUAGUAUCUGUCAACAUCUCAAUUUCUCUCAAGAGAUAAAAAAAAAAUCCAUCUUUAAUAACUGUCUCCAGCGUGACAUCUCUAUUAUUGGAAGGGUUUUAUUGUCCAAAGAAGAGGGUCUGUCAUGUUUUGUCUACCCUGCUCUAUCCCUAUUUGUAGCGAUCAAACCAGCAAGGAUAUCAACAAAACUUUCUUAGACUUUAUAUGUAAAAAUAAACAACACAAACUUAAGAAGUCUGUAAUAUCAACAAAGAGCUGAUGGUGGGCUUGAAGUACUAGACCUCAUUGAUAUCAACAAUACGUUUAAAUUAAACUGUAUUCAAAGAUGUAUGCUUGUCAAGAUAGAUGUCAAGAUGGAUGCACAACUUAUGUUAGAAGGUUGCCCCCUACUGGAUAAGAAAUGUAAUAAUACAUUCUUAAGAAUGCAAGAACAAGAUCUCUCCUAGAGGGAACUUCUUCUGGAAUAAUUGAAUGGAAGAAAGCUUGGUUGCUCCCUCACAAAUUUUGUAUAUAAGUUAAAUAAAUUCACUUUAAAAUCUUGUACAAAAUAUGCCCUUGUAAUAACGUGUCCAAAUUCAUGGACUUAGAGGAAAUAUGCCUUUUCUGUGAUAAAGAAGGGGAAACUAUUAUACACUUUAUUGGAGUGAGGUAAGUAUCUACAUUUUUUAUUUAAUUAACAAGACCAUGUAUUUACAAUGAAAUAUGCCAAAUGUUAUUAUUCAUAUUAAAACAAAACCACUGAAUUAGUUGUUAAUUUCUUAAUUCUCUCUGGUAAAUGUUAUAUAUACAAAAACAAAUAUUUGAAAUCUGUGCAAUAGAUCUUUACUUGAAAUCCAAGAUUUGAUCAAAUCUCGAGAAUGAAUCAAUAACAAAAAAAUGCAUUCUUAAACUCUUAUCAUAGGUUUGUACAUUUGUAACCCCUGACCUUAUUUUAUUGAUUUUAUUGUAGGUCAUUUCACUUUUGAAACUCAAUUUAUCUGUGGUUUUAUUAUUUGACUUUAAUGUUAUUUUAUAUUUCUUCAGAGAAAAUAUACGUGUAGUGAUGACCUAUGUUUUUUUUUUUUUGUAUUGUCAUUUGAAAACGUAUGGCAGUUUGAAAUAGACAUUCUUUGUGGAAUCGAUCUCCGUUGUCCUGCCUGCUCACAGGAGAUGCUUGCUAUAUCAGUGAAUGGAAAUCACAAUGAAUAACACUUCCAGAAAUCCUCAGGGUUUGUACUACCUUCUUAUGUGUUGAUAUUUUGUUCAGGGGAUAAGUGAUUCGUUUUUUUUUGCUUUAUCCAAACUCCUCCGAGAGGUUGGAGCAACAUUGUCAGAUGUCUGGUACUUGAACCAGCAACCCACCUCUCUAACCUCUAAGCUACCUGCCACCUUUGAUGUAUAAGUUUGUGAUGUCAUCUUGCAGUCUGACUCUAUUUAGUUCUGAGAAGGUCUUCUACGACAGUGUCUUCCAGGCGAAAGGCAUAUCCAUAAAAAAGUACAAGCGUGUAAUUAUUCUCUUACAGUUUCUAUAACAUAGCUUUAUGUUAAUCUCUGCACUUCACUGUGAUUAUUAUGUUGUAGACACCAGGCAAAGGAAUGUGUGGCACAUCAGAGUGGACAGCGGCCAAAGAGUCGUCAGAAAAAUAAUCUGCUAAAGAUAAGGGCCUUGAGAUAGCAGUUUGCCGACAUGGCAUGCUCCUCAAGGUCCUCAACAUGUGCAGAUGUGAAAUAUAUGCCUACGCAGUGUACUUGCAGAAGGAGUUGUGUUCUGUUGGCACGGUGGGCUUCUUCUGCUGCGAUGUUGCAUGCAUAUACUGGCCAUAUUUGCAGAAGUCAUGCAGGCAUGCCCAGAGUUGGAGGAGCUUCUAAAAAUGCACCCUCUCCAUCAUGCAUGCGAACGCGCAUACCUCUUGUGAGCUCAAAUAGGGAGGCCACAAUCAGUCUGGUACCAGCAACACAACCAGAGAAGCAAGUCAAGCAGGACGUCAAUGAUGCUGUGCUUCAGGAGUGAGUUGCUGAGGUGCAGCAGUGGCCUGAAGCAGGAGAGGUAAAAGGCCGCCACCACCUACUUCAGGAGCAGCCUGGUCUCCUGACGUUGACACCUGACCCCUCACCUCUGAACCUAUCCAGGGAAAUAUGAUUUGCCUGAUGACAUUCUUGUUGCGAUUUCGGCACAUUUGUUGCCAUGUUUCCUCACCUCCAUAUCUUCCGGUCCUAGACUAUGGCGACAUCAUCAUCAAUUCAGAAAUUGAUCUGAGGACCUCUUUACUGAGGAAUGUGGUUGUUCUACAUGAUUGUUGUUUGUAUUUUCUAUGCUGCUGUGAUGUAUGUGUAAUUGUGAGUUGCAAACGAGUCUUUGGUCUCAAUGGGACUGGUAAAAUAAAUAAAGUGAAGGUCUUAAUAAACAUUCAUUAAGCACUAACA